rnacentral:rRNA from 1 species
AAUCAAGUGCCUUAAGGGUGUUCGGUGGAUGCCUUGGCGCUGAGAGGCGAUGAAGGACGUGCUACGCUGCGAUAAGCCGUGGGGAGCUGCGAAGAAGCUUUGAUCCACGGAUUUCCGAAUGGGGAAA